AGCAAGUGUGAAUCAAACCAUUCUGAAACAGAACUGCUGAGAAAACAACUGGGAAAUGAAAAAGCAUCUAUGAAAAACCUGGAAUCUUCUCUUGUGUCCAAUUGUGAGAAGGAAUUUCAGUCACAGAGAGCAAACCAAGAGAAAGCCUCUGAAAUUCAGGUUCACAAGGAACAGCUUGCUUUAGUAGAAAAUAAUCUGAACAGGUGGCUUUUAAAAUCCUCUAAAAAUAGAGGAUUGAAUAAUGAAUAA
rnacentral:lncRNA from 1 species